ACCGGCGCACGGGUGCGUAACGCGUAUGCAACUUGCCUCAAACUGGAAGAUAGCCCGGGGAAACCCGGAUUAAUACUCCAUAGUAUUCACUGAUCGCAUGGUCUGGUGAAUUAAAGCUCCGGCGGUUUGAGAUGGGCAUGCGUAACAUUAGCUUGUUGGUGAGGUAACGGCUCACCAAGGCAACGAUGUUUAGGGGGCCUGAGAGGGUGAUCCCCCACACUGGUACUGAGACACGGACCAGACUCCUACGGGAGGCAGCAGUGAGGAAUAUUGCGCAAUGGAGGAAACUCUGACGCAGCCAUGCCGCGUGCAGGAAGACGGCCCUACGGGUUGUAAACUGCUUUUAUUUGAAAAGAAACCCUGGUACGUGUACCGGGCUGACGGUAUCAAAUGAAUA
rnacentral:rRNA from 1 species